CGCUCUAGGCUGAGGCCCUACUCGCUGCUCCCGGCAGCCCAGGCCUGAGCUAGGCUUGGGGGAGGGGAGGGCAGCGGCGAUUUGGCUUCUUCCGUCCUUUCGGCUCCCGCAGCGCCUGGACAGCGCCAGCGCCGCAGAAUGUUUGGCACUUCAUGCCUGUGCAAAGGACGUUUAAUUUACAUCCAAGCUGGAGGCAACAGCAAAAACAGCCAACAUAAACAUGGAAGACAGGAGAUGGGAACAAGGAGCCUUUGCCAUUGAAUCACAUUCCAAUGUAAAGAGUAAAAGAGUAACCACUGCAUCUACACAAGGGCAUUUUGCCUUCAUGGAUAUUUGACAGUAUUUCCCUGUUGUCAAAUAGUAGGUGAUCAAUUGACUGGAAUCCCAGUGCU